rnacentral:rRNA from 1 species
GACGAACGCUGGCGGCGUGCUUAACACAUGCAAGUCGAACGAAGUGGCGAACGGGUGAGUAACGCGUAAUCAACCUGCCCUUCAGAGGGGGACAACAGUGGGAAACGACUGCUAAUACCGCAUACUGAAGUAGGGGAUUGCGUCUGCUUAGCUAGUUGGAGGGGGAACGGCCCACCAAGGCGAUGAUAGGUAGCCCGUCCUGGAGGAUGAACGGCCAAAUUGGGAAUGGGACACGGCCCAGACUCCUUCGGGAGGCAGCAGUGGGGAAUCUUCCGCAAUGGACGAAAGUCUGACGGAGCCACGCCGGGGGAGUGAUGACGGCCUUCGGGUUGUAAAGCUCUGUUAAUCGGGACGCGGUACCGGAAUAGAAAGCCACGGCUAACUACGUGCCAGCCGCCGCGGUAAUAC